GGGGACGAUCUGGUUUCGACUGUCGUGGUUCGGUUCGUUGGACGCAUGCGAAGUUGAGGAGCUUCUAAAAACCUCGCCCUUUACGUGCAAACGAUGAGUUUGCUCUCGCAGCUUAAUCAGUAGGCGAGAUGCUCUGCCCAGCUUCUCUUCUUGGGCUGGAACAGAGUACCACUUUAAAGAAGACGAAAGAUGUGGGUCUGUUCGGCCGCAGCUUUUGUAACUACCGAGCAGAACGAUUAAAGUUGGCUGUCGCUGCGCUUGCUUUGGUCGUAUUUCGCAGCGACUAAGCAUGUAGGGCCCCUCGGGUCGCACGGUAGGACGCGGGUUCGACUCCCGCCGUCUCCAA
rnacentral:tmRNA from 1 species